rnacentral:rRNA from 1 species
AUUGAACGCUGGCGGCAUGCCUUACACAUGCAAGUCGAACGGUAACAGGUCUUCGGAUGCUGACGAGUGGCGAACGGGUGAGUAAUACAUCGGAACGUGCCUAGUAGUGGGGGAUAACUACUCGAAAGAGUGGCUAAUACCGCAUGAGAUCUACGGAUGAAAGCAGGGGAUCGCAAGACCUUGUGCUACUAGAGCGGCCGAUGGCAGAUUAGGUAGUUGGUGGGAUAAAAGCUUACCAAGCCGACGAUCUGUAGCUGGUCUGAGAGGACGAUCAGCCAAACUGGGACUGAGAAACGGCCCAGACUCCUACGGGAGGCAGCAGUGGGAAUUUUGGACAAUGGGCGCAAGCCUGAUCCAGCAAUGCCGCGUGCAGGAUGAAGGCCUUCGGGUUGUAAACUGCUUUCGUACGGAACGAAAAGCCCCGGGUUAAUACCCUGGGGUCAUGUCGGUACCGUAAGAAUAAGCACCGGCUAACUACGUGCCAGCAGCCGCAGUAA